AUUGAACGCUGGCGGCAUGCCUUACACAUGCAAGUCGAACGGUAACAGGUCUUCGGAUGCUGACGAGUGGCGAACGGGUGAGUAAUACAUCGGAACGUGCCCGAUCGUGGGGGAUAACGAAGCGAAAGCUUUUCUAAUACCGCAUACGAUCUACGGAUGAAAGCAGUGGACCGCAAGGCCUUGCGCGAACGGAGCGGCCGAUGGCAGAUUAGGUAGUUGGUGGGAUAAAAGCUUACCAAGCCGACGAUCUGUAGCUGGUCUGAGAGGACGACCAGCCACACUGGGACUGAGACACGGCCCAGACUCCUACGGGAGGCAGCAGUGGGGAAUUUUGGACAAUGGGCGAAAGCCUGAUCCAGUCAUGCCGCGUGCAGGAUGAAGGCCUUCGGGUUGUAAACUGCUUUUGUACGGAACGAAAAGACUCUGGUUAAUACCUGGGGUCCAUGACGGUACCGGAAGAAUAAGCACCGGCUAACUACGUG
rnacentral:rRNA from 1 species